GGGGCUGAUCGGUUUCGACGUGGCGGUUGUUUCGUCGGAUCGUGCGACCGGAGUUGCUCAGACUCCAAAACGGGGCAAACAAGACACGGCAAUUCUCGUGUCGCUCUUGCCGCCUAAUUUUUAGGCGUUUGAGAGUCAUCGGGACCAGCAAUGAUUCCCGGGGCCUGACCACUACAGCCUGGCAACAGAAGUAGUGGUGGACAGCAGGGAAAGACCGCUGACUGUAGGAAAGACUGCUGACGCUGGAGAAAGAACCGGCGGUGAUGUCUUCUGACUCAACUGACCCGGCAGUGUGGGUGCCGAAAACCACAAGCUCGGGAAUGGUCGUAUCGCGGACGAUGAAUCCGAAACGGACGGGGGUUCGAUUCCCCCCAGCUCCACCA
rnacentral:tmRNA from 1 species